AAAGCAGAAUAGCAAGGCAGAGAGAGAAGAGACAGUACAGUAGCAGACAGACUGACUGACUCCUUUUGCUGCUGAAUUGAGUGGAAGUGCAUUUUCCCUGGUAAUUGCUGGAUAUCUGAGUAUUUCAUCUAGCAUGAAGGUGCUGUGGAUUUUUCUGUUGCUGGAAGUUUCAGGGUUCUUUCCCAUUAUUUCCAGCCGUUCUUCUCCAGUCCAUUGCCGCUGGAAUUCUUUUGGUCCUUGGUCCGAGUGCGAUGGCUGUACUCAGAAACAGAUUCGGAGACGAACAGUAGCAGUGUAUGGCCAGUAUGGGGGAAAUCCCUGCUCUGGGAAUGCCUUUGAAACAAGACCAUGCACCCCAACACGGGGAUGCCCGACAGAGGAUGGGUGCGGUGACCGCUUCAGGUGUUUUUCAGGUCAGUGCAUUAGCAGAUCUCUUGUGUGCAAUGGAGAUCAGGAUUGUGAGGAAGAUGGUGCAGAUGAAGAUCGAUGUGAAGAGAAGACGACUGUAUGUGAUAUUGAUAGAACACCUCCGAAUUCAGAACUUACAGGAACGGGCUUUGAUGCCAUUACCGGUGAGACUAGGGGAAGAGUCAUUCAUACAAAAACUUUUGGAGGACAAUGCAGAAAGGUCUUUAGCGGUGAUGGGAGAGAAUACUACAGGCUGAGCGAAAGUGUUCUUGCUUAUACUUUCCAGGUUAAAAUUCAGAAUGAUUUCAGUUAUGAGUUUUUCAACAGCAGCUGGUCCUAUAUGAAACACACAGAGAGAUAUGAAAAAUCAAACAGUGGACACAGUUAUUCACAGAAUAAAAUUCUGCAACACAGCCAAAAGAGUAAGCAGCUGAUGGUUGUUGAGAACAGUGUGGAAGUUGCUCAGUUUAUUAACAACCACCCAGACUUUCUCACUCUUGCGGAGCCUUUCUGGAAGGAACUGGCCAACCUUCCAGUCAUCUAUGAGUACAACAUCUACCGAAGACUUAUCGAACAUUUUGGGACUCAUUUCUUACACUCUGGAUCUCUAGGAGGACAUUAUAAAGUUAUUUUUUAUAUGGAUACUGACAAAAUGAAAGCAGAAGGUAUGAGCAUAAGAGACAUGUACGAGUGCACCACAUCAGGCUGGAAUGCAUUCAUUGUGAAAAAGAAGAAAGUAAAGUGCUCCAAACUGGAUGAACUGCUACAGACUGCUUCAGGAAGCAGCGGUAAUAAGAUUAAAGGAGACCCCUACAUAGAAGGAGGAAGCCCAGGUGCUGUUGCUGGCCUUAGUUAUCUAGAGCUGAAUAAUCCUGCUGGGAACAGUCAGAGAUACUCCUUCUGGGCCAGAUCAGUGACAGACUAUCCCAGAGUAUUUAAACAAAAGUUAACACCGUUAUAUGAGCUGGUAAAAGAAGUGCCCUGCUCCUCAGUCAAAAAACAUUACCUAAAGCAAGCCAUUGAAGAGUAUAUGGCUGAAAAUGAUCCCUGCAAGUGUCAGCCUUGCCAGAAUGAUGGUGAGGCAGCUGUGGAAGGAACCCAGUGCGUGUGUUACUGCAAGCCUUACACCUUUGGAGCAGCUUGUGAGCUGGGAACUCUCGUGCAAGAUCAGCCAGGUGUUGUUGAUGGACACUGGAGCUGCUGGUCUUCCUGGAGUCCUUGUUCAGGGGGAAGGAAAUCCAGGAGCAGAACCUGCAACAACCCUUCCCCACAUGGUGGUGGAAAGGCCUGCAUAGGAGAGCAGCAUGAAAGCAGACCAUGCGAAGAUGAAGAGUUGCAGCAUUUUCGCUCAAUUGAACCACACUGUUUUGAUUUAUCCAUAACUCCUACAAAAUUCUGUUCACCUCCUCCUCUCCUGGAAAAUGGAUUUGUUCAAAAUGCUGAAAACUCACACCCUGUUGGGAAAAGCGUUGUUUAUGCUUGCAGACAUGGAUAUUCUCUUGUUGGUGAUCCUGUUGCUAAGUGUGGCAGUAAUUUACAGUGGCAAGUUGGAGAAAGAUAUUGCCAGGAAACUGCUUGUCUCCUGCCCGUCCUGGAGGGGGGUUUGCAAGGAGAGCCAUGGAAACCUGUGUAUGAGAUCGGUGAGAGAAUAACUCUGUCCUGUCCACACGGCAUGCACUUAGAAGGGGCAAGCUCCAUUUUGUGUGAGCCUAGUCUCAAGUGGUCCCCUGACAUGAAGACUAUCCAGUGCAAGAGACCGGGUAAAGGCAGUGCCCAGUGUGAAACCAGAAGUGACAGAGCCUAAAUGUCAGCCAUGGGAGAAAGUGCAUCAGUCGCAAUGUGUGUGCAAAAUGCCCUAUGAGUGUGGUCCUUCCCUGGACACUUGUGCUACAGAUCAAAGGACCAAGAGAAACACACCUUUAACUGUUUGCAAGAUGCAUGCCUUGGAGUGCAUGGGCAGAAAAUAUUCUCUUACUGAUUCAGAAAACUGCAAAAUACCUCAGGCAGCUGAAAUAUCAUGUGGAUCAUGCCGUCUGUGGGAGAAAUGUGAUGCGCAAUCCAACAGCUGUGUUUGUGAUGAAGAUGGGCCAUGUGAGGAGGGAGGCAUCGAGGUCUGCGCUGAAGUGAGCGGCUCUGCUGCCCGCCGGACCAUGACAGAGUGCGAGGCCGGGCGGCUCAAAUGCCAGGGGGAGGCUGUCACCCUUGUCAGCAUAAGGCCUUGCGACGUACAGAGCAAAUAAUAUAUGUUACGGUUCCUUUUGCUUAUUGCCAUG